UAGUUUGUUGUAAUUAAGUAUUUGGUAAAAAAAUUCCUUUUAAAAAAAUUUCUGGCCCAGAAUUUUGUGGGUUAAGUUAGUGGUAAUUAUGUUUUUGGUAAAAAAAAAUUCCUUUUUUAAAAUUUUGACGUUUUGCCAGUUGUUACUUGAUGUUUUAUUAGUAGCCUAAUUUGUGGUUGAGCUUACGUAAUCUUUAUUGUGAUUAAGUUUUUUUUUUUUUGUAUUUUUUCUUAAAUUAUUUUUUUGAGUCAAUGGGUAAUGAUAAUGAUAAUGAUAAUGAUGAAUGAUUUCCUUAUUUAUUUCUGACUUUUUCCCCUUAUUAAUUUAUUGUGGCUAUUGACUGAUUUUUUUUUUCCUUUUUUAUUAUAUUGAAUAAUUAUUGUUAAUAUAAUUUAUGGUUAGUAGGGACAUGUUAGUCUUUUUUAGAGGAGGACACCAAAAGUGUAUUUUCUAAAAUAACCUUAUGUGUUCCUUUAUAGAAUAGAGAUACUGAUAUUUAAAGUUGAUAUUAGGUAUUGAAAUAUUAUUUGUAUCACCAAAAACAAUGAGAGAGAAAAGGCAAAAAAAAAAUUCCUAAGAAAUCUAGAGAGAGAAAUAACCUAAAAAAUAGCCACUGCCUUGUAAUCUUAGCCCCCCUUCGUCUUUCUUGCUCCCUACUAUGGCUACCAUGCCCUUUAGGCUCUAGAUCUGCCUAUAAUAAGAAAUUAUUACUACCUAUUACCUAUGUUAAUCAUGGGUUUAAUCCUCUUUUGAGUUCGCCCUUUUUCAAGAUCAUUUUGGAGGUUUUGGUUGAGAAUCUUUCUCAACUUCCCCUGGUUCGUUUUAUCUUCUCUAAAGGAGCUGCGUCUAUUUCCAUCGAAAUCUACGAAGUUAAUUAUGGCGAAAAUCCCACUAAUUUGAUUUUAUUUAACGGUGACUAUGUUUUGCUCCUAUGGCUGGCCAAUCGGAAAAUUAAUAGGGUUUCAGAAAUUGGUGCUAACUACUUCUUUUAUUGGACUACUACAAAGUCUUCGGAUUCUAAAACAGGGAAGUGUCUAAUCUUCAUUUUUACUGGUUGUUUUGUUGUUUUAAUUAAUUUUAAUUUUAAUUUAUGGGUUGCAUGUAUACUUUUGGUGGUUCUGUUUAUUGAUCUUAUAUGUCGUGUCUUAUACGCUCUCCAUAUUGCAAUUAAUGGUUGUGUUUCUGAUGAUUUUCCUGUACUUGACUCCCAAGCUACUGCCUUUACUCCCAAUUUUGCCCCUUAUGAUAAUCACUAUAAAUAUAGGAUUACUGUUGCGGCUACGAUCACUCCACCUCCCUUUCUUCCCCUUACUCAAACCUUCUUGCCUUGCCUAACCAGAAUCCUCAUCAAUUCUUGUCUCCUUUAUUCAUGUCUGAUAUUUCUCCUAAGCAAAACUAUGCCACAGUUCUUAUGUCGAACCCUGUUGCGCUUCCCUAUGGACUUUCACCUCCCAAUUUAUGUGAUACUUCAGCUGCAACCUUACAACAAUGCCUUGACAACCCCACCAAUGGGAAGCCACAAUUCUUCUAGUGCUCCCACUUCCCCAUUUGCAAACUCUACACACUCUCCUGCUGCAGAGGGCUAAUUUGUUGAGUAACCGAAGCCUAAAGCACGAGACAUUAUCAAUUAUACUACUUAAUGAAAAGGGGUUGUGAAAGAGUCCCAACUUAUCAAUUCUUCAUCCAACGUGUACCAACAUAAAGAAUAGAGGAGGAUCACUAAAUCUCCUUAAAAGAGAAGCUGAAGCCCACAAUUAUCACAUUAUUGAAGGGAUCCCACCAAGUAAAUACGUGAGUUAUAGGAAGACAAAUUCUUCACACAAACCGUCAAAACAGGGACUGCUUCUUUCUUCUCGAAGGCGCAUAAACGGCAAACUCACACUACCGAUCUUCUAGUUCCGAUAUCACCGGUUAAAAACUAGGGUUUAUCUCAUAUAAAAUUGCAGCCCAACCCCUCAAACCACACACACACAGACGACACAAGGAGAACCAUAAAAUUUGUGAGUUGAGGGAUUAUAGUCAGAUCUGGAAUUGGGUAAUUGAUAAGGAGAAGGCAGCCAUUGGAGAGAGCUUAGUCUUGAAUUCAAGGUCAAGAAGGACGACGGCGAGUUGCGGGGUCGAAGCCGGAGCUAGCUUGGGUGUUCUUAGUUAGAAGAUAUAAUAAGUUCUUCUUCUACUCAAUUACCCCAAUCCCCAAUUUAAGUACUGUAUUGUUUUGUUGGACUAAAUUGUUUAAUUUGUUGGUAUGCAGCAUUGUUUGGUAUAAUAUAAUCUACAUGAGAUAAUCAUCAGAUUUAGUUUUGAA